GACAAAGGAGCGGAGGAGCAGUCGCAGCUGCUUUCCGAGGAAGCCGGUGUUGCCGAGAUUGCCAAAAUGCUUUGGAGUUUUUAACUGAAUCUAAGAAAAGUCCAAAAUAGAUCUGAGACUGUAAAAACAGAAACUGCAGCAAGGGGGAUUCAGUGCCAAUGCAUCAACAAAAAAGACAACCAGAGUUAGUGGAAGGAAAUCUUCCUGUUUUCGUGUUCCCCACGGAGCUCAUAUUUUAUGCAGAUGAUCAGUCAACACAUAAGCAAGUGUUGACACUGUACAAUCCCUAUGAGUUUGCCUUAAAGUUCAAAGGUGAGUCUCCUAGCUCUAUUUUCUGGGUUUUUAACUGGUCCCUACUAAUUUUUUACUUGUAGAAACUAAUAAAAAAAAAAAAAACACUAAUGGCCAUUGUGACUUUUUCUUUCAGUUUUGUGUACUACUCCAAAUAAGUAUGUUGUCGUUGAUGCUGCAGGUGCAGUAAAGCCUCAGUGUUGUGUGGAUAUGUAAGUCAAGAUCAAUUCCUGGUAACACGUUUUAAGUGUGUUAAUAUUUAUGUUUUUAACUUGAAAAAAAAAA
rnacentral:sRNA from 1 species